CUUGGGGACACUCAGGCAACUUCCCUAUGGAAAGGAUUUUAUGGCAGAGGACUGAGGUUUCCAGUCAACAGCCAGGAAGCAACUGAAGCUUGCCAAUAACCUUGUAAAUGAUGUUUGCUAAUCUGUUGGUGGAAAGUAGUAUCUCAUUAAAGUUUUAACAUGCUGUUUUCUAAUUUGAGUGAUAUUAGGCAUAUUUUAACAUGUUUAAAGGUAUUUUUAUGAGGAAGACAAGAAAUAAAAACACAGACUCCAUAUUCAAUGACAUUAGGAAACAUCUUUAACCUGAAGGCAUAGUAUAUGAAGGCUAAAAGUGGAUGGAGAAAUGAAAAAUGACUUAGCAAGGCAGAGGAAAUUCAAACCUAGGUACUGCAGAGGAAGAGAACACCAGCAAGAAGCACACUAAUUUGUCUUAUGGAACCUCAGAAAGCCACAGCAGGAGACAGAAGCUGUCUUCUCUGGAGAAAUUGAACUAGAAAGGAUGUGGACUUGAGUAUAUCAGGUUCUAAGGAAUGGCCACUUUGUCUCAAAUGGAGGAAUCAGUCAUCAGGAACCCUUGGGCUUUCCACACUUUAAGUGGCAACCUGGAGGAGGAAAAGAGGACAGCUUCAGCUUUUAAGGGCUCUUGGCUCAAAUUUCUACAAGAAUGAAACAGAAAAAGCUGACAUAAUGUUAAAGAGGAUUUAGAAGAUCUGAAAAACACGGUUCACAAGCUUGAUUUAAUGGAUACAGCCAGAAUCCUUCACGUAGUGGAGAGUACAUGUUUUCUAAGUACAUGUUCUAUAAGUAAAUGUGAAAAACUUGAAAAUUUGGCUACGAAGCCAGUCUCAAGUAAUACUGAGAAAGUUGAUAUUAUACAGACCACAUUUCUUUUUACCAUAAUAUAAUACAACUAUGAAUCAACAAUAAAAAGCCCUGCACCCCGCAAUAGAGUGACUUUCAGUUUCUGGCUUAAGCAAUUAGGUAGAUAGUACUUAUGUCAUUUAUUGAGAUUGAAAAGACUGAAGGAAAACCUUUUUAAGGGAGGGUGGAAAUGGGGUCACAGAAAAGAUAAAUCAGUUUAGAGAGGUCUGGCCAACCAACACCUAGCAAGGUAUUGGGAUAGACGUACCUCAAAUAAUUCAUCAGCCAUAGAUUUAAUGUGUCUGCUAUAACCACACUUCUUUUCUAGGAGCCCUUUUUCUGUUUUGAGAUUUUUGUAAAUUUGAGUUUGAAAAUUACGAGUUAAAGUAAUAUUGUCAUAUUAAUUGGUUAUGCUGCCACCCAGUGAUAGAUUUUAGAAUAGCAGAUAUAUCUUUUUUUAGAUGAAUUCCUAUUUUUUUAAUUAAAGAAAGCAAAGAUUAUAAAAUAAUCUAUUUCAUUGUUCAAAAUAUUGCCAUCUUAUCUCUACAUUAUACAUUAUUUUAUGUAUCCCAAACUAUCAGUAUUGCCUUUAUAUUCAACUAUUAAUAUUGCAAAAGUUUAGAUCCCCCCAAUGGAAAAAGCUUAAUGUACAAAAGUUAUUCAAAUAGCUAAUAUUUGUUGAAUGCUUAGUGUGUUCCAGGCACUACUGUAAGUUCUUCUUGUUCUUUUCUUUUU